UAGGUUACGAAUGAAUAUUCUCUUGCACAUUAUUAUAAUAGCAAUGCCAUGGAGCAGUAUUCCGACUAUUUUACAGUACAACCACUACCCCGCCAUCAAUCAUCAUCCUGAGCCGCAGCUCCCCUGGCUGCACCCGCAGUGCUGUAACUUUCUCCUGACAAUUUAUCAAGCCAUUCACGAGUCUACUGCCCUGACGCGUGGCUAUUUGGAGUUUUCAGGAAUUAAUAAAGAACUUGAAAGGCGCCUCUCAUCCAUGCGACCCUCGAAUUACAUUUUGUACAUUAGCAGUCGUGUUAUACGUGAACGUGUGUUUUCUUAUGAAAUGCUGCUAAGAUGUGUUAUGGUCAGAGUGGAAAGUAUUUUACUAUAAGUACUAACCAAAUAACUUCAUGGGGGACUCAAUUAUUAUCAGAGGACUGAAGUAUUUUAUUUGUUAUAUGUGCCUGUUUUUUGAGCAGCUGGUCGUGAGCCCGCAAUCAAGCUUAGCUUAAUGCGAGUGAGUUCAUCUCCGUAGCCGCUAACGCCACGAAACACCACGUGUCACACAAAUCACGUGCUCCUUCGUCUCGGACCCCUUAAAGCAGAGUAGCUACUGUAAAGGACAGUUUGCCUUCCUGCAGAUGGUUACAGUUCCGGUCGGGUGAGAUGAAAGGCAGAUUGGUCCAACGUGCAGUGCGGCCAACGCUUGUCCAUAAGAGCCACGCUGCGUUCAGCCUAUAACAAGCUGGAGGCAAUCACACAAAGCCGCACUCGACGGGGCGCAGCAGAUGUCCGGCGUAACCUUUGAAAUAUUUUCAAACGGAGCCUUAGCGGGCGGGCCACGACCUUGGUGUUGGAGGGAUGGCGUCAAAGGAAGACGGGGAGCAGGAUUCUCCUGGGAGAAGCUCGCUGCCGAGUGUCAGAACCCAGUUGGAGGGAAGAAAAGUCAUUCUUCCAACGCGAGUGGGCGGCUCACCUGAAGGCCGCCACCUGCCCCGGGAGGGUGGGCCACAGCAACGCCGGCGCCGCGGAGCCUCUUGACAACGCUGCAUCCUGAGGGGACGUGUGGGAUUGGCACGUGCACGGAGGCGCGGAGCGACGGCACGCGAAGGGUAAAACCGAAGGCUGAUGAAGGCGAUUGGACCUAAGGAGAGAGGAACCCAGGAGCUGCUGGACACGUGACGAGCUGCUGCUCUGAAAGUCUGCUCCAGGAUGCUUCACCUCCCAUGAGGGAGAUUCUUCUUGGCUGUUGUCACAGAGCAACAGUGAUGGUUGAUGUUGGCUGUCACAGAUCAACAAGUCUGUGUAGAGAGAGAGGUAAAUGAUAAAUUAGCGCUGGGCAAAUGUGCACAAGUUAACAUCUACUACACCAUUAAGGAAGAAAACCCACAGUUAUCAGUGAUUGCACUUACCUCAGCAAACCUGAAAGCGUAAAAGGAGUCGAGGGACGUUACUUACCACUACUCUGCAAAAACACAGACCCAAAAGACCCCAGCACAAGCUGAACUACAGUAACAAAAGAAGCCACUUACUUUCUGAAAACAGGCCAACACAUUAACUCUGAACAAUCUGAAACUGCAUGUCACUGAAGUCAAAUGGCCUCUUUCAACCAGACACGGGCCCUGAAAAGAAACUAGCACAAACAAGUCACAAUGCACGACAAUGAUCUACACGCAGCCGCCCGUCACUCCAGCACCGAACUUGUGCAUGUGGGCUGUUCACCUGAAAAAGACAGACAGCACAAAACAGUCCCCGAACCCAACCACCGUCCCAGACCCGGUUCUGAAGGACACCAGCUCCACCGACGCAGCUGCACAGGUUCCUGCUACAAACACGUGGAAACUGGAGGUGAGCCGCGUUCACAUGCAAACAUGGCUACAGUAACUACACUAGCCUGAAGAAAGCACUCCAACCUUUAGUGGAUCCCCAACGGCCUCCUCGAGGAAAACACAAAGAAAACUAAAGCAAAACGUCCAGAAACAGAAAACACGUUGGAUCAGAACCAGCCAAGACUCCGCUAAGAACAUGCGCUCUCGUCGCCUUCUGAUUGACUAACAGGACCUGAUCCUGAAGGAGAUGGCUAGAUUGGUCGAUCACCUGGAAGCCUGAGCGUCGUGUUCCAGUACGGUUCCUUUCAUCUUGUGAAGAGUUUCGCAUCAUUUCACUUGCGGCUAUCAAGCAUACAGUAUGUUACUGUCCUCACUACUACUGUCUAAGUGUUGUCCUUUUUUUGGCUUUCAGCUUUUUUUUGUGAAACGUUGGGUCCUUUGAUAACAGAGUGAGGUGUUUCACAAUGGGAAUCGCCUCAACGUGACCAACCAUGGAAGCUCCAAUGACACCACAUCUGUUGACAUCUGUUGUAGGUGAGAGAAACUUAAAACCCACUGUUUCAUAGAUUCGAAAAAGCGUCUGAGACAACUGUCGAAUCCCAUAUAGGACUCAGUGGCCUUGAGACUGGGAGCUUGUGAUGUGCACCCUUCAUAAACUGACAAAUCAAAGGAUGUUGACCAGCUGAUUUGUCACCAAAUCCUACAUGACAGGCUGAAGUUGCAGCCAGAUAGACCUUAAUGGUAGAAAAAGCUCUUCCUUUUUCCAACAAAUCCUGAAGGAAACACAGGAUGUCUGCCACUGAAAAGGAAUAGUGUCCUUUAAGCCACACCAUUCCUCAAAAAUACGCUAUUUACCACCAUAGAGGUGCCGAGUGGAGGCAGCUCUUGCAUUUUGAAUAGUAUCAGCUGGCAAACCUGCUGCAUCUAAAUUCCACCUCUCUCGUGCCAAGCCCAGAGAGCCACUCUGUGUGGAUGGGGAUGGAAGAUCUCUCCUCCGGCCUGGGACAGCAGGUCCCUCUGAAGGGGGAGGGGCCAAGGCUCCUCCAACGCCCCCACCUCCCUCACCCUGGCAAAGGUUGCGAGAGCAGGCUAAGGGGUGGGAAAGCAUACAGUAGGACCUUAGGCCAUGUACGGGCUAAAGCACCCAUAGAGGUGCCUUCGGGUCAGAGAGUGACAAGAACAUCGGACAGUGAGUGUUGUCCUGAGAGGCAAAAAGAUCUAUUGAGGCGCUGCCGGAGCACCCCCAGAUCUGAGCUUUCAUGGUUGGUCACACGGAAGCGAUUCCAAUAGUGAAACACUGAGCGAAGUUAGAAAAUGAACCCUGUUUUAAGUUGUUUUCAAGAGUAACGAUAUGAUGAACUGAUGUCAGUAAUUCGGAUUGUGUAAUGGUUAAACUGCUACAUGUGAAUGUGCUGGGUUCAACUCCCGGCUAAGGAGUUGAACAGCUCAGUGGUGAUUUACCUGCCGACCGAAUAUCUUCAGACUAAGUGCUAGCUGCACGCACAUACUGUACAUAUAGAUACUGGGCAGGCAAUGCGUGGACGGUGUUCGGGGGUCGACAUCAAGACACACUUCCAUGCUGGUUCAUAUUCAUCAGACUUUUAUUAGAAUGCAAAGAUCCAGUAUGUGGGAACAAUUCAAACACCGUUUCUGCCAAGGCAUACAGAGACAGAAAGAAGAGAGUCAGAGCUAUUAAGUAGAAUGUAAACUUUACAGGAG